GUUGGUGACAGGCUAUCAGUGGGAGCAAUCGCAGCCUAAAAGAGGGAAUGUUUAUCUAAAGCAGCGAUCCCAUUUUCCAUGAUCCUCAAAAUAAAAGAGCUUCUCAGGCCUUAUAUGGGCCGGCUGGAAGUUUGGAGCCGAGGGGAGCAUUCCUGGAAAACUCCUGCUCUGCCUCUGUUUAUCUCUUUCUCCUCAGCUGAACUCAAACAAAGUCACUAAGACCAAAUGUCAAAGGAUACGGUUUUCAGUUUGUGUAACGUUUGGUUUGGCUGACUGCUCUUUUAUAUCAGGUGUUGCUGUGGCAGAUGGACAAGCAGACGUGUGGAUCCGGGAUAAGAGACGUCUGCUUUGCAGUUAUACUUCGAUCCAGAUGCUGUGGUUUCAGGCGGACAGGAUGAACACACUGAUCCGUCCAGACCAGAGACCUGCUAAGUGUUAAAAUGUUUCCGUUGCCUCACAUUUACAGCCGAUGGUGACAUUUACACUACUUGUCUCCUCCUUCUUUACUGCGUGUAGGGAAUGAUGCUCAUGCUGUCUGUUUGUCUGCAGCUCACCUCGUCCAUUCCUGUGGCCCAUGGUGCAGUGCUGCAUCUCUGGUCAGUUUGUAGUCUGAGAUGAAGCACUGUAGCUCGGGACACUGGACAGCAAAUGUCUCCAUACACAGGAAAUUAUAAUCACAUGCUUUCAAUGCCACAAACUCUUUUAACUAUCUCAUCAGAAAUCAGAAAAGGUUUGCAGUACCUGCCUGCCAUCUCUCCUCUCUCCUGGGGUCCAGUUUUCCCAGGAAUCCCUUGACCUAUCAGAAAGGGGGAUUCCUGGAAAUACUGUUCUUGGGGGCGCGGACUAUCAGCAUUUCCUGUUACAUCAUGAUCUAUGUGGAACUUUGGUUUGGAAGAAAUGCAGUUAUGAUUUCAGUCACAUUUCACCUACUACAGAACAGAUGGAGCGGCUGUAAUGUGAAAUGUUAUAAAUAAUUUCUCGCCACAUGAGGGAGUAGUCAGACCUUAAGGAGAGAGGGUCAAAUGCAGAAAACCCAGUGAAAGCGUGUCUGACUCCUGUUAACAUUAGUCCGUUGAUUCAACUGAUGAGUUAUUGUUUUGAAGUGGACCGGGUCCAGUGCCUCGUGCAGUCAGUCUGAGAGCAAACCGUCACCUCAUCAGGUGUUUACUUAUAGGCUAGCUUGUGUUUUUUUUUUUUAAUUUAUUCAUCUUUGUUGUAAUUUCUCAGUAUUUUAGUUGAAGCUAUCAGAAUUUUGGUUUGUGUUUUCUUGUUUUUUUAAUUUUUGAUACAAAACAUAUUUUGCCCAUAACAUUUGCCCGACUUAUAAUUUCUGCAGCAGGAGUUAAAAGACAACGGCCAAAGAUUGAGUGCAGGAAAACAAUCAUUGGUGUAUGAGCAGCAACAUAUACUGUAAUAGUAAUCAGUUUAGUCAGUUUAGUGAAGUGUUAAUGUAUCCAGUAAUGUAACUGUACUGUGGUGGUCCCAGGCCCACGCAGGACAUGAUUGGUCCAAUAGUGUCUAACAUUAUUGAACCAGAGCUUUUUUCCAGGUGCUUCCUCACCCAGACGGCAAGGCCCUUCAGGACGGGACCUUUAGGCCACAUUUGUCUUGUCAAAUGCAGUGUGUCAUCAUAAUGUAUUAUUCCAGCAUUUAGGAAGAUGCCACUGCAGGAGGUGCAGCUUAAAGGACAGGCAGCAAACACGCAUGCGUACAAACAGACUUAUUGCAAAGCAUGUUAAAUGUGUGCAGGAUUAAACUACAUUUGUGGUCACUGAUUUUCUUGGACAACAUUGCAUGGUGCAUUUUAUGUCAUUGGUCAGAUUCCAACCAGAACCAAAUGUUCCACAGCCCUAUGUGAUGCUGUGUGCAAGUCCUUAUUGCCUCUGCUGAUUGGUUGAAGCUGCAGAUCUGGGGUUUGUUAGUGAAAACAGGAGAGAGCUGGACACAUAGAAGUUACUCUGGCCCAUGUUUGACACCCAUGGCAUUCAUUCAGCGUUAUUGUGCCUUUAAUAACAUUGUUGAUCUGAUUGCCGCCCUGCGAUGGACUGGCGACCUGUCCAGGAAGUACCCCGCCUCUCGCCUAUAGAUAGAUGGGAUAGGCUCCAGCACCCCCUAGACCCCGCAUGGGAAUAAGCAGUAGAAAAAGGAUGGAUGGAUGGAUCUGAUUGCCACUUACCAGCUGAUCAAGUCUGAUCAAUCAUCUGUAGGACGUACUGAACAACUUACAGCACAUAUGCUGCUUUCUGUGUUGCCAGACAUGAUAAAACAGGAACUAAACUGAUGUGGAGUAUUGCAGAAAACCUGGCUAGUAGGAAACAUGACAUUACUUUUUUCCAAUUCCCAUUCUCAUCUUUGUGCGCUUCCACUUUUUCUUCAAAAUAUAACAGUUAGGUUCUAGUUUAGUUCAUCAUCUGUGUCCCUGUAUGCAUGAACUUUUUUGGCUUCCAUAGUAAAUGCUUCUAUUCCUAUUAGAAGGUUCCUAAGUCAUUAUGAGGAAAUGUUAUUGUUUGUAAACUUCUGACUUAGAAGAAAGUACAAAUAAAACUUCUCUAAUAAAUUCUUGUUGUCA
rnacentral:lncRNA from 1 species